AGCAUGCCUCUUUCCAGUCCAGAUGCUGUGUGGCGUCCAGUCGAGUACAGUACUCCACCGUUUAUGAUUCCAAUGAGAAGACCUUUGAUAAGAUCCUUAUUGCAAACAGAGGAGAGAUCGCCUGCAGGGUGAUGAAAACAUGUAAGAAGAUGGGUAUCAAAA